CUCUCUCUCUCUCUGCCAAGAUUAAAUCAAAAAUGUGUGUUAUAUCUAAGCAGUUGUAGUAAGAUUAACUUUUUCAAUAGGUACAAUAAGACAGGUUUGACAGGCUUUUGCCACAGAUUAACAGUAUGUCAGUAGUUAGUAUAGGCUAACUGAAUAGUGCCCUGAAUUAUUGCCCUGUUAAAUUCAAGUUGAUUGUGUAUUGGUGGACUUGUCUUCUCCACACAGGUUUUUCAGAUCUGGGCAGUUUGAGUCAGUUGAUGACUUUAAAAUAAUCUUUUCUGACUGGAUAAUUAAAGCUCACAGCAUCUACCUGUCUGUAGUGUAUUUUCCCACAUUUUAAAUAAUCUAAUCUCAUUUAAUGUCUCUGUUUUUAGUCUGUAUAGUUUAUCUCCCCACAAAUACGCUCAAAGUAGUCUUAAAAUAAAAUCCAUAAAACAGUUCAAGAUGAUGACUUUUUAUUUGCUCAUUUAAUGCCAGUUGCCCUCUUUCCUGAGUAUAAGCGAAUGAGUGACAUAAAGAGAAAAAGUACCAAUUUGUAUGCUGGUGAGUCUUGUGUAUUUUUUUCUCUGUCUCUCUAUGACAGAGAAAUAUAUAUGCUCAUUAUUGAUGUUCAAACUGAUGCUCAAAUUUCCAAGCACCACCUGAACGCCUCAUCGGUCUUUAACUAAUCACUACACCAACGGUUGUCAUUCCGCUUUGCUCUCUGCUGUGGAACUUGACUCACAUCUGUGCUUUGCCUGUGUGCAGAAGAAGAACAAGGACCAGAUCUCCAGUCUUCUCUCUCACAUCCCAACCCCCCAACCCCUCUAUCCUCUGUCCUGCUCCACCUGUUGUCUCUGCCUUCUUUCCAUCUGUAUUUCACUCUGUGGUUUGUGAGAAAUUUUGCCAAACCAAGAAUCUUAUUGCGGUUUGAUUUAAAGCCGUGUCUCUCCUGCUCUGUCUGUUCUCUCUGCUAAAUUUUCUCUCUACCUGUUUUUCACUCUUGGCUUGCUGCUGAAAAACGCCAAGCCAAUAAAGCAAUAAAGAGUGCAUAUUUUGCCUCAACCUAUGAACAAACUGAACAAACAAAGAAAACUCUGCGGUUUGAUUUAAAGCCGUGUCUCUCCUGCUCUGUCUGUUCUCUCUUCUAAAUUUUCUCUCUACCUGUUUUUCACUCUUGGCUUGCUGCUGAAAAACGCCAAGCCAUUAAAGCAAUAAAGAGUGCAUAUAUUGCCUCUACCUGAGAACAAAC